rnacentral:lncRNA from 10 species
CAAACUUCCAGCAUCCAGAACUGUUAGCAGCAAAUUUCUGUUAAGUCACCUAGCGCAUGGUAUUUUGGAAUGACAGCUCGACAGCUCAACACCAGACAUUGCCAAAUGUCCCCUGGGGGUCAAACCCUGACCUAGACCAUGAUAAAUACUAUAACAUUUAGCUUGGUCAGCUGUUGGGCUGUCAGGAGGUUCGGAGAGAGGAUAUCAGGCUUAGGAACAACAUUGAUAAAAUUCCCCAUGGAGCAGAGAACUGGUUGCAUCCAGGGCCCAUGGAAGAUGGUGUGAAGGCAGCAGGGAGAAGUGGAGAGAGAGUGGUGUGAGCUGACUGAAGAAGAAGCAGCUUCCAGAUUGUUCAGGGCUUGGAAGUGCAGGAAAAGAACCUUGGCCCAUGUUCUAAGCCCGCUGGGAGCCAGUGACGUGUUUAGGUGAGUGGUGCAAUGCACCUGUGGUUUUAACAGAACCGCACCCCCCAGCCCACCUGUGAGGAGCGUGGGCUCAGGGAGGAAAGCAGUGGUAGGUGGAGGCCAUUAGGAGUAGAAUGGUGCUGGUCUAGACUUGGGGGUUGAGUGUGGAGGAGGUGUGCUGGGUUCCCCCAAGACCAC